rnacentral:rRNA from 1 species
AUACGGAGGGUGCGAGCGUUGUUCGGAAUUAUUGGGCGUAAAGCGCGUGUAGGCGGUUUGUUAAGUCUGAUGUGAAAGCCCCGGGCUCAACCUGGGAAGUGCAUUGGAUACUGGCAGACUUGAGUACGGGAGAGGGUAGUGGAAUUCCCAGUGUAGGAGUGAAAUCCGUAGAUAUUGGGAGGAACACCGGUGGCGAAGGCGGCUGCCUGGACCGAUACUGACGCUGAGACGCGAAAGCGUGGGGAGC